rnacentral:rRNA from 1 species
GACGAACCGUGCGAACGUUGUUCGGAAUCACUGGGCUUAAAGGGCGCGUAGGCGGGCUGCCAAGUCCGUAGGUGAAAUCCCCCGGCUCAACCGGGGAACGGCCUCGGAUACUGGCGGCCUGGAGGGGGGUAGGGGCAAGCGGAACUGUGGGUGGAGCGGUGAAAUGCGUUGAGAUCCACAGGAACUCCGGUGGCGAAGGCGGCUUGCUGGACCCUUUCUGACGCUGAGGCGCGAAAGCCAGGGGAGCGAACGGG